rnacentral:rRNA from 1 species
AGCUCCAAUAGCGUAUAUUUAAUUUGUUGUGGUUAAAAAGCUCGUAGUUGGAUUUCGGCGGGUAUUUGUCGGUUUUAAUUUCUUCCCUACUGACUUUUUUUCCCCUGUGUUUUUCCCGAAUUUUUCGGGUGACCUUAACCGAUUUUCCGUUAGAACUGGCUGGUUUACUUUGAAAAAAUUAGAGUGCUCAAAGCAAGCUUGACUGCUUGAAUAUUCGUGCAUGGAAUAAUAGAAUAGGAAGUUGUUUCUAUUUUGUUGGUUCUCGGAAAUCGACUUAAUGAUUAAUAGGGAUAGUCGGGGGCAUUUGUAUUCAAACGACAGAGGUGAAAUUCUUGGACCGUUUGAAGACAAACUACUGCGAAAGCAUUUGCCAAGAAUGUUUUCA